rnacentral:rRNA from 1 species
CACGGAGUUAGCCGAUCCUUAUUCAUAUGGUACAUACAAAAUCCCACACGUGGAACAUUUUAUUCCCAUAUAAAAGAAGUUUACAACCCAUAGGGCAGUCAUCCUUCACGCUACUUGGCUGGUUCAGACUCUCGUCCAUUGACCAAUAUUCCUCACUGCUGCCUCCCGUAGGAGUUUGGACCGUGUCUCAGUUCCAAUGUGGGGGACCUUCCUCUCAGAACCCCUAUCCAUCGUCGUCUUGGUGGGCCGUUACCCCGCCAACUAACUAAUGGAACGCAUCCCCAUCCCAUACCGAAAUUCUUUAAUAAUCCCAUCAUGCGGUAGGACUAUGACAUCGGGUAUUAAUCUUUCUUUCGAAAGGCUAUCCCCGAGUAUGAGGCAGGUUGGAUACGUGUUACUCACCCGUGCGCCGGUCGCCAUCAAAAGUUUGCAAGCAAACUUUCAUGCUGCCCCUCGACUUGCAUGUGUUAAGCCUGUAGCUAGCGUUCAUCCUGUACGCCGAGGAUCAAACUCUUACG